rnacentral:rRNA from 1 species
AGUGAACGCUGGCGGUAGGCCUAACACAUGCAAGUCGAACGGCAGCACAGUAAGAGCUUGCUCUUACGGGUGGCGAGUGGCGGACGGGUGAGGAAUACAUCGGAAUCUACUUUUUCGUGGGGGAUAACGUAGGGAAACUUACGCUAAUACCGCAUACGACCUACGGGUGAAAGCAGGGGAUCUUCUGACCUUGCGCGAUUGAAUGAGCCGAUGUCGGAUUAGCUAGUUGGCGGGGUAAAGGCCCACCAAGGCGACGAUCCGUAGCUGGUCUGAGAGGAUGAUAAGCGACACUGGAAGUGAGACACGGUACAGAGUACUACGGGAGGAAGCAGUGGGGAAUAUUGGACAAUGGGCGCAAGCAUGAUCCAGCAAUACCGAGUGGGUGAAGAAGGCCUUCGGGUUGUAAAGCCCUUUUGUUGGGAAAGAAAAGAAGCAGGUUAAAACCCAGCUGUUCUGACGGUACCCAAAGAAUAAGCACCGGCUAACUUCGUG